GCAGUAGCCACGGUAAUACGUAGGUGGCAAGCGUUGUCCGGAAUUAUUGGGCGUAAAGGGCUCGCAGGCGGUUUCUUAAGUCUGAUGUGAAAGCCCCCGGCUCAACCGGGGAGGGUCAUUGGAAACUGGGAAACUUGAGUGCAGAAGAGGAGAGUGGAAUUCCACGUGUAGCGGUGAAAUGCGUAGAGAUGUGGAGGAACACCAGUGGCGAAGGCGACUCUCUGGUCUGUAACUGACGCUGAGGAGCGAAAGCGUGGGGAGCGAACAGGAUUAGAUACCCGAGUAGUCCCUGUCUCUUAUAC
rnacentral:rRNA from 1 species